rnacentral:rRNA from 1 species
UACGUAGGGCGCAAGCGUUGUCCGGAAUUAUUGGGCGUAAAGGGCGCGUAGGCGGCCAUGCGUGUCUUCCGUGAAAUCCCUCGGCUUAACUGAGGACGUGCGGAAGAAAACUGCAAGGCUCGAGUCCGGGAGAGGGGGGGUGGAAUUCCCAGUGUAGCGGUGAAAUGCGUAGAUAUUGGGAGGAACACCGGUGGCGAAGGCGGCCCCCCCUGGACCGGUACUGACGCUGAGGCGCGAAAGCGUGGGUAGCAAACGGG